UACGUAGGUGGCAAGCGUUGUCCGGAUUUACUGGGCGUAAAGAGCGCGCAGGCGGUCGUUCAAGUCGCGUGUGAAAGCCCCCGGCUCAACUUGGGUGGGUCACGCGAUACUGAUCGACUCGAAGGCAGGAGAGGGAAGUGGAAUUCCCGGUGUAGUGGUGAAAUGCGUAGAUAUCGGGAGGAACACCUAUGGCGAAGGCAGCUCGCUGGGACGGUACUGACGCUGAGACGCGAAAGCGUGGGGAGCGAACAGG
rnacentral:rRNA from 1 species